CAUAGUGAUCCGGUGGUUCUGAAUGGAAGGGCCAUCGCUCAACGGAUAAAAGGUACUCCGGGGAUAACAGGCUGAUACCGCCCAAGAGUUCAUAUCGACGGCGGUGUUUGGCACCUCGAUGUCGGCUCAUCACAUCCUGGGGCUGAAGUAGGUCCCAAGGGUAUGGCUGUUCGCCAUUUAAAGUGGUACGCGAGCUGGGUUUAGAACGUCGUGAGACAGUUCGGUCCCUAUCUGCCGUGGGCGCUGGAGAACUGAGGGGGGCUGCUCCUAGUACGAGAGGACCGGAGUGGACGCAUCACUGGUGUUCGGGUUGUCAUGCCAAUGGCACUGCCCGGUAGCUAAAUGCGGAAGAGAUAAGUGCUGAAAGCAUCUAAGCACGAAACUUGCCCCGAGAUG
rnacentral:rRNA from 1 species